rnacentral:rRNA from 1 species
UACGCAACCUUCCUUUAACUGGAGAAUAGCCCCUCGAAAGAGGGAUUAAUACUCCGUAACAUAUACAUGUGGCAUCACAAGUAUAUUAUAGCUCCGGCGGUUAGAGAUGGGCGUGCGCCUGAUUAGAUAGUUGGCGGGGUAACGGCCCACCAAGUCUGCGAUCAGUAACUGGUGUGAGAGCACGACCAGUCACACGGGCACUGAGACACGGGCCCG